CAAACAUGAUAUCAAUGUAUCACAAUAGAAUUAAUAAUAAAUUAAUUUUAAAAUUAAACUAACUAAAAUCAAUUUUUAUCUCUCACAAAAUUUGAAUAACAUUUAAAAGAUCUUUCAUUAAUUAAAUCUUGAAUAAUAAUCUUGUAAAAUAUAAUAAUAAGUCUAUUUUUAUACUUGAUUGACACUAUCGACUCUUGCUUUUAAUUCACUCCCAAAAUAAUAUCCACAUCCAUAAUUAAGAAUCUGAAUCCGCAAAAAAAGGAGAGGUAAUAAACUUGAUAGUCCAGUAAGUAAUAAAUAUCUCAACUAGAUAUUUUAGAUAUUAUCAUAAGAUAUGAUGCUCGAAAAUAAGUGCUAUGAAUAUCAUAAGAACAUAUAUUCCAUGCCAAUUAAUACAAAUCAAAUCUUUUCAAGUACUCAUAUACAUACAUAAUCAUAAAUCCAAUUCAAAAUAAAAUACAUAUAACUCAACCAUACUUAUUUCUAUGGCAAGGUCAGAAUAGAGUGAUAACAUACAAUCCCACUGGCAGGGUCCAAAAAUCAAUAUAUAACUUUCACUAGCAAGGUCCAAAAAUCAAUACAUAACUCCACUGGCAGAGUGUAAAAAAUCAAUAUAUAACCUCGAUUGGCAAAAUUCGAAAACCAAUGUAUAACCUCUAUUGGCAGGCUCCAAAAUAUAAUUAGGCUAAAAACAUAAAAUUCGAUUCGUAUCAAAAUACUUUUGCAACAGAACAUAUAAGUACCAUAAUUCUAUUGAACAUAUGCAAAUUCUAUAAUAAAUCAAUAAAUCAUAAUAUUUUAAAAAUCUCAAAUUUUACAAUCACUUUCAUUCAAAAAAUUAUUGUUAAAUCAUGCAUAACUUCAAAUAUCAAUUAUUUACUUUCAAAAUAAAUUAUGAAAUAUCUCGAAAAGAUAGUUUACUAUUUAUCUCUGUGGAUCACUGAAUGGUCAGAUUCAGUCAAUCUUGAGAGAAUCUUUCAGAACUAAUUAUUCAAAAUAUAUUCUUCUAUCAGUCUUAAACCGUAAUCAAUAAAAAAUCCUAAGUUACGACAUCCUCGCAAAACUGAUCAGAAAUGGUAGCCUCCAACGUCUUAGUUAGUCUAAUCAAAAUAAUUUUAUCUGAUCAUGCUUAGAAUAAGAAGCAGAUGGUCUAAUAAAGAUCAAGGGUGAUCAAAUCUAUUAGUGUCCGAUAAAAAUCAAAGUAGAGGUCAGUACACCAAUUGAGAGUCAGGAAUUAAUUUGAUCAAGUAGCUUUAUUUAAUCAAGAUCAUUUAAAAUAUGAUGAUCUAAUAAAGAUCAAUAAGGAUCAAAUCUUGUGAUACUAAAUAAAGGCUCGGAUGGUGUGGGCAUGUUAUCUAAUUGACAAAGUAGUUCGAAAUCCUCUUUUUGAAUCAACUCAUAUUUAAAGCAAUAGGUCAGGUUCACUAAUUUCAUAAAUCACGUAGUGAAGAAAAUAUCAAAAGAAAAAUAAAUUAACAAGAUGGAACAGAGCUAAUCAGACGAUACUAUCCGAUAAUCAUCGGUCUAAUCAAAAUGAUUUAAAAUCGAGGACUUGAUUUACGAUUGUGUUUGCAGAAAAACUUUGCCGGAGGUAAAAUAAGAGUUCUUUAAAGCACUAGCUAAUCUUUUUAUCCACCAUUUCUGGCCCUUAGACUUUGACUCCGAUCGGCAAUCACCAAAUUUUCUAUUUUUUUUAAAAAAAACUUUUGAAUUUUUUCUUUUUUUCUAUGUUUGUUUUUAUUUUCUUCACCACCGUCAUUGUCGUCAGUCAUCGGACCAGGGGUGAUUUGCCCUUCUGACCAUAGGCACCAUCAGUUGGGGUAUUUCCCUCCUUCGAGAAAUAAGUGGAUGAUGGUCCCUAUUUUGUAAAGCACCCAUCAGAGGAAAUAAGAAGAAGAAUAAAACAAAGAAGGAAAAAGAAAGGAGAGAGAAAGUUUUUCUCUCUCUUCCCUCUCAAUCUUCUUUGAGUUUGCAUCUCCACUUUCUCUCUCUAAAAAGUUUCUUUUUAGAAAAUUUUUUUCUUUCUCUUUCUACUUUCUCUCUUUACGAAUUAUCUCUUUCUAGAAUUAUUUUUUUCUAAAAAAUUAUUCCUCUAAAAUUAAUCGAAUAAAAAUUUUCUCUCAAUGAUUUUGAUAUGACCUUAGCAAAGAGAAUCCUGAUCGGUGGUCACUAUAUAGCAUGCUGGCAUCUAUCUUAACUAGAUUAGAUACCAUUAGAUUCAAUUAUUUAUGAUUUAAUCAUUUAUACACUAAUUCAAUCAUGACUUGAUUAAAUUAUCUUGAUUAGAUCGAUCGGAUUGUCGAAUAAUGUCGUUUGAUUAGCUUUAUUCCAUCUUGUUAAUUUAUCAUUCUUCUGGUAUUCUCCCUAUGUGAUUUAUGAAACUAGCGAACUCAAUUUAUUACUUUAAAUCUGAGUUGAUUCCAGUAGAACAUUUUAAACUGCUCUGUUAAUCGGAUAAUAUGCCCACACCAUUCGAACUUUCAUCAAGCAUCGUAAGAUUUGAUCAUUAUUAAAAUCUAUUAGAUCAUUAUAUUUUAAGUGAUCCUGAUUAGAUGAAGCUACUUAAUCAAAUUGAUUCUUGACUAUCAAUCAAUGUAUCGACAUCUACUUUAAUUUUUGUCAAACACUAAUAGAUUUGAUCAUCUUUGAUCUUUAUUGGACUAUUAGUUUCCUAUUUAAGUAUGAUUAGGUAAAAUUAUCUUAAUUGCACCGACUAAGAUGUUAGAUGCUUCCGCUUUUGGUUAGCUUUGCGAGGAUGUCAGAACUAAAUAUUUUUUAUUAGUUAUGGUUUAAGACUGAUAAAAUAAUAUAUUUUGAAUUAUAGAUUCUGAAGGAUGUUCUCAUUAUUGAUUGAAUCUGUUCAUUCAGUAUUCUAUAAAAGUAAGUAAUAAACUAACUUUCAAGAUAUUUAUAAUUUAUUUUGAAAGUAAAUAAUUGAUCUCUGAAGUUAUGCAUGAUUUAAAAAAUUAUUUUUUGAAUGAAAGUAAUUUAAAAAUUUAAAAUUUUUAGAAUAUUAUGAUUUAUUAAUUUAUUAUAGAAUAUACAUAUAUUCAAUGGAAUUAUGAUGCCUAUAUAUUAUGUUGCAAAAAUGCUUUGAUACAAAUCAGAUUUUGUUCUCUCAUGUUAAUUAUGUUCUGGACCCUACCAAUAGGGGUUAUAUGUUAGUUUUUGGAUUCCACUAAUAGGAGUUAUACAUUGACUUUGGGACACUGCUAGUGGAUAUUAUGUAUAUUUUGAAUUAAAUUUAUGAUUAUGUAUGCAUACGAGUAUUUGAAAAGAUAUGAUUUGCAUUAAUUGACAUGGAAUACAUGUUCUUAUGAUAUUCAUGACAUUUAUUUUUGAACAUCAUAUCUUAUGAUAAUUACCUCUUAUUUCUUUCCAGAUUCUUAAUUAUGGAUGUUGAUACUACUUUAGGAGUGAGUUAGAAGCAAAAGCCGACAGUAUCAAUGGAGUUUAGACAAAGAUUUAUUAUAAUGUUUUACAAGAUUAUUAUUCGAAGUUUAAUUGAUAUAAGAUCUCUUGAAUAUUAUUAAAAUUUUAUUAGAGAUAAAAAUUGAUUUUAGUUAGCUAAAUUUUGGAUUUAAUUUAUUAUAAAUUUCUCUGUGAUGCAUUAAUAUUGGGUUUGGAAUAUCUUGUAUGCUUAUCGAGAGAGUUCUUUAGGAGUAUGGAGGCAGUUAUCGUAAAUCAGGGUUGCGACAACUACCACAUAUUCAUGGAGAACUCUCUCUACAAAUAUGCAAGAUAUUCUAAACAUGAUAUCAAUGCAUUACAAUAGAAUUCAUAAUAAAUUAAUUUUAAAAUUAAACUAACUAAAAUCAACUUUUAUCUCUCACAAAAUUUGAAUAACAUUCAAAAGGUCUUUCAUUAAUUAAACCGCAAAUAAUAAUCUUGUAGAAUAUAGUAAUAAGUCUACUUUUAUACUCGAUUGAUACUAUCAACUCUUGCUUCUAACUCACUCCCAAAGCAAUAUCCACAUCCAUAAUUAAGAAUAUGAAUCUAAAAAAAAAAAGAAGAAGAGAUAAUGAACUUGAUAGUCCAGUAAGUAAUAAAUAUCUCAACUAGACAUCUUAGAUAUUAUCAUAAGAUAUGAUGCUCAAAAAUAAAUACUAUAAAUAUUAUAAAAAUAUAUAUUCUAUGCUAAUUAAUACAAAUCAAAUAUUUUUAAAUACUCAUAUACAUACAUAAUCAUAAAUUCAAUUCAAAAUAAAAUAUAUAUAACUCAACAACCUUAAUUAUGACCAUACUUAUUCCUAUAGCAGGGUCAGAACAGAGUGAUAAUAUAUAAUCCCACUGGCAGGGUCCAAAAAUCAAUACAUGACUUCCACGAGCAAAGUCCAAAAAUCAAUACAUAACUCCAUUGGCCGAGUGCAAAAAUCAAUGUAUAAUCUUGAUUGGUAAGAUUCAAAAAUCAACGUAUAACCUCUAUUGACAGGGUCCAAAACAUAAUUAGGCUGAGAACACAAAAUCCGAUCCGUAUCAAAAAAAACUUUUGCAACAGAACAUAUAAGCAUCAUAAUUCUAUUAAACAUAUGUAUAUUCCACAAUAAUCAGUAAAUCAUAAUAUUUCAAAAAUCUUAAAUUUUUGCAAUCACUUUCAUUCAAAAAAUAGUUUGUUAAAUCAUGCAUAGCUUCAAAGACCAAUUAUUUGCAUUCAAAAUAAAUUAUGAAAUAUCUCGAAAAGAUAGUUUACUAUUUAUCUCUGCAGAACACUGAACGAACAGAUUCAGUCAAUCUUGAGAGAAUCUUUUAGAAUCAAUUAUUCAAAAUAUAUUCUUCUAUCAGUCUUAAACUAUAAUCAAUAAAAAAUUCUAAGUUACGACAUCCUCACAAAACUGAUCAAAAAUAGUAGCAUCCAACGUCUUAGUUAGUUCAAUCAAAAUAAUUUUAUCUGAUCAUGCUUUAGAAUAAGAAGCAGAUGGUCUAAUAAAGAUCAAGGGUGAUCAAAUCUAUUAGUGUCUGAUAAAAGUCAAAGUAGAAGUCAGUACACCAAUUGAGAGUCAAAAAUUAAUUUGAUCAAGUAGCUUUAUUUAAUCAGGAUCAUUUAACAUAAAAUGAUCUAAUAAAGAUCAAAAGGACCAAAUCUUGUGAUAUUGGAUAAAAACUCAGAUGGUGUGGGCAUGUUGUCUAAUUGACAGAGUAGUUCGAAACCCUCUACUUGAAUCAACUCAUAUUUAAGGUGAUAGAUCAUGUUCACUGGAUUCAUAAAUCACAUAGUGAAGAAAAUAUCAAAAGAAAAAUAAAUUAAAAAGAUGGAACAGAGCUAAUCAGAUGAUACUAUCCGAUAAUUCGAUCGGUCUAAUCAAGAUGAUUUAAUCAAAUCAUGAUUGAAUUAGUAUAUACAUGAUUCAAUAAAAAUUAUAGAUAAUUGAACCUAAUGAUAUCUAGAUCUAACCAAGAUGGAUGUCGGUACGUUAUCCGACGGCCGUGGAUCAGGACUUUCUUUAUUAAGGUCAAAUUAGAAUCACUGAGAGAAGGCUUUUUACUCGAUCAAUUUUAAAGAGAUAAUUUUAUAGAGAGAAAAUCUGUAGAGAAAAAAAGAGAAACUUUCUAGAGAAAAAAAGUGGGGAUGCAAACUCAGAAAAGAUUGAGAGGAAAGAGAGAGAAACUCUCUCUUCUUCUUUUUUUCUUCUUCUUCUUCUUUUCUCUUGUGGGUUCUUUACAAAAUAGGGACCGUCAUCCUCUUAUUUCUUGAAGUGGAGGAAUACCCCAAUUGGUGGUGCUCAUGGUCGAAAGGGCAAACCACAAUGGUGCGACCCAAGGCCCCUGGUCCGAUGAUUGAUGACGAUGGCGGCGGUGAAGAAAAUAAAAAUAAAUAUGAAAAAAAUAAGGAAAAUUCACAAGCUUGUUUUUUUUUCACAAAAAAUCCGACGAUUCUCGGUAGGAAUCAAGGUCUAAGGGCUAGGAACAGUGGAGAGAAAGAUCAGCUAGUAUUUUAGAGAACUCUUACCUCACCUUCAGCAAAGUUUUUCUGGCAAACACCACUAUGAAUCAAGUCCUCGGCUCUAGAAAAAAUUAGGAAAGAAAAAAGGUUGGGCUCAGACGAUUGAUCUUAGUGGAGUAUUAGAGCCUUUAAAUAGAUGCUACUGGGAGGAUUGGAGAUCAAAAUAGGUUGAAUCUGAAUCAAAUUAAGCCUCCUUUCAGUCAGAAAGAAAGGAAGAAAGAACUCCUUCGAGAGUUUCAGUUGGUUGUCCAUAGCCCAGCAUGUGCUGGCUUAAAAAUUUUGCUUUUUUUCAGUGCUUUAGAGAUCGUAUUAUAUCUUUUGGGCUUGAGUCUGAAUGGGAACCGGGGUAUUACAAUGUGUUUCUUGAAAAGUUUGUUAUUGAAUUCUCAGUAAAAGUUAGCUUUUUUUCGUGCAUUAUUUGUUUGGUAGAUCUAAGUGAAGAUAAUAUUGUCAAAUAAAUGAUCUUCUUAAUUUGUCCAUAAAAAGAUGAGGUGAUAUUUUGCUGCACACAUUGUUCAUGUGUAUUACAUGUCUCAAACCAGAUGCAAGAUGACUUGAUUCUAGUAUAUGUGGAAUGUUCUCUAAAUUAUCCAGGUAAUUUUGAUAAGCAGAUAGUUGAGUAGUGUUUCCUUUCCAUUAUGUAUUACUUGAAAAGGAUUCAAAUUUAAAAUGUUAUGUAUUACUUAGUCAAUACAACUAUAUAAGCACGGGGCGUUUUCGUACUUGGCAUUCUUAAGCCCAAUAUUAUUAUAUAGCCCACAAAUCCAAAGCCCAAGGGCAAAUUUUGCGAUCAGUUGUACAUAUAGUAAAGCAUAGAAUAUAGAUCAGUGAUCAGUCCACCAUAAAUAUUUCUUUGAGAGUGGAAUUGAAACGAAGCGUUGACGUGACAACAAGAGCAACGAGCUAACAUGGUCUAGUGCCGACAUGCUAGCGCAAAUGCCCAGUCAGGCAACUUCUCAAACAAGUGGCGUGCGAGUUCGGGUAGCAAGAUUUCACACAAAGCAGGGCAAAGACGUGGAGGAUGGUCGCGAACAGAAGGAUGAGAGUAAAGUCAACAAGUCGCUCAGAUCCAUGUCGGUGUCCGUUCCGUUGAAUGUUGAAUUCGGUUCCGUUGGAAUUGGAGGGAUGCAGGAGGAGCGUGAGCUGGGGGUGAAAGCUGACUGCUUGCUUAUUUUACGUGUCAGCAACCUACAAGGAGAGGGUGGACUUGGGGUCAGGAAAUCCCGGUCACAGAGGAUGUGGAUAACCUAUGAAGAGGUGCAAAAUAAUUCCAUGGAAGGUUGAUAGAAAAAUGCACAACUCCUGUCCUUGUUGACCACUUUCGCUGCUUUGUUUAGCAUUUACCAAACACAAAUCCAUAAAUCAAACUGACAAUCUUGUGUCUGAGAAGCUAACAGACUAUGGUAGUGGUGGUAGCGGUGGGGUGUUAAUAGUGACAGCGAAGAUACGGUAGAGGCCAUAACAGAGUUGGUGGGGGAGCGACGAUGGCGAUGAUAAUAGUAACGAUAGUAAUAAAAGAUCUAAUGAUGAUAGUAAUAAUGAUAAUAGUGAUAAUGAUGAUAAUAGUAACGAUAAUAGUGAUAAUGAUGAUAAUAGUAACGAUAGUAAUAAGAUCUAAUGAUGAUAGUAAUAAUGAUGAUAGUAAUAAUGAUAAUAGUGAUCAUAAUAAUGUCAAUAAUGCCAAUAACAAUAGAGAUGGCAUCUAUAAUAAUGGCGGUAAAAGAUCUUAAGUUUUUUUUUNUUUUUUUUUUUUUUUUAAGUCAUGAAAAUAAUAAUUUUUUGAAAAAUCAAAAAUAAAUUGAUUGCACUAAAAUUUAUUUCUUCUCAAGUUUUAUAAGUUAUUAAAAAUAAAAAAGAAAUUUCUUUUUUAUUUUAUAUAUAAAAUUUCUUUCUUCUCAACCGCACCUGGAAUCGGGGGCCAUCGGAUCAAGACGCCAGCCCCGUCACACGUGCAAUCAUUCCUCUCGUUCCAUAUAAAGACUCCCGUACCAGAGCAGAUCCAACGGCUCCGAGAUGAAGACAUAAAAUACCAGACGUUAUGUUGCGCACCUGAAACGCCACGUGGCACUAGUCCACCACUUCUCAUCAGGGCUUUGUUAAAUUAACAGGAGGCGCCGUCUUCCCGCUUCUGGAACCCAGAGUCGAUGGGUGCCCAAUAGAGCGCACCGUUUGUCCUCUUCUCCUCCCCCUCCUCCCCCCCCCGGCCCCCCUUCGGAGGAGACCGGCGCAAGCGUGGAAGCCGAUCUUUGAGAGCGGUUUAGUUUUCUUUUUCCCUUCUUGAAUUUGUGCUUUGGCUUCGCGGAUUGGGGCUUCUUGGUUUUCUCCAAGAGGUCGAAUCGUAUCGGAGAUGGCGAUGGGAUGGUAUCCGGCAGAAACUUGAGCUCCCCUCUCGUAUCAGGUUCUUUUAAGCUUUUCUUGGUCAUCGAUUCUUGGCAUCUUGUCAUCUCAUUUCAAGCAUCUGUUCUGUUGGUAAUUUUUCUUGUUUAUUUUUCUUUCUUUUCUUGGUUUCUCCCAUCAUUAACUUCUAGUUGGAGUUUGUGAAAUCAAAAUUCUGCGCGAUUAAAUGCUGCAUCGGUAUCAGGUUCUUCGAUAUUACUUUUUUUUUGGGUUGUCGAUUCUUGAUCUUCUUCGUGGAUCUGUUCUGUUGGUAUAUUUUCUUGUUUCCCCUUUCCUUCUUGUUUUGAGUUAUCGUUAAUUUCUUGUUGGAAUCUGCAGAUCAAAAUUCCAUGAGAUCACGUGCUGCACUGUUUUCAGGUUCAUUGAUCUUUUUUUCACCCGAUUCUUGACGUCCUGUAAUCUUCUUUUAAGAAACGAUUUUGUUGGUAUUUUUUCUUUUUCUUUCUUUUUCCUUGAUCUUUUAUUGUCUUGUUCAAUCAUAAUUUGUAUCUGAAGUUGUCGUAAUUUAAAUUUAGUGUGAUUAUGUGUUGCAUCGAUGUGUUAGCUAUGAUGGGUAUUUAUUGUUAAAUACUAGUGGAAUUUAGGAAUGUAGGAUGGGAUGGUUCUUGGAGGAUGGAAUAAAUUUUUGGAGUUUUGAUUUGUUAUUUCGUCUUGUAGUUUCUUGCAUAAUGUGUGUAAUACCUCUGUUCCCAUUCAAACUCAAGCCCAAAAGAUAUAGCACGAUCUUUAAAGUACUGAAAAUAAAAAAAGAGAAACUUUUUAAGCAGCACGGGCUGAGCUAUGGAUAGCCAACUAAAACUCUCGAAGGAGUUCUUUCUUCCCUUCUUCCCAAUUGAAAAGAGACCUAAUUUGAUUGGGAUUCAAUUUAUUUUUUUACUCCAAUCUUCCUACUAGCGUCUAUUUAAAAGCUCAGACACUCCUCUCAGAUCAAUUGUUGGAGUCGGACCUUUUUUUUUCCUAAUUUUCUCUGGAGCCUACUUGAUUUACGGUUGUGUUUGUCGAAAAACUUUGCCGGAGGUCAGAUAAGAGUUCUCUAAAGCACUAGCUGAUCUUUCUAUCCAUCAUUCUUGACCUUUAGACUUUGAUUCCGAUCGGCAAUCGUUGAAUUUUCUUUUUUUUUUUAAAGCUUCUAUUUUUUUUUUUUAAUGUUUGUUUUUAUUUUUUUUACCACCAUUGUUGCCGUUAGUCAUUGGACCAAGGCCACUGCUAUGGUUUUCCCUUCUGGCCAUGGGCACCACCAGUUGGGGUAUUCCCUUCCUUCAGAAAAUAAGGGGAUUAUGGUCUCUAUUUUGUAAAGAACCCACUAGAGGAAAGCAAAAAAAAAAAAACCUUUUUCUUUCUACUUUCUUGUCUCUAAAAUUUUUUUUUAAUUUUUUCUCUCUACUUUCUCUCUUUACGAAUUUUCUCUUUUUAAAAUUAUUUUUUUCUAAAAAAUUAUCUCUCUAAGAUUAAUUGGAUAAAAAUUUUCUCUCAAUGAUUUUGAUAUGACUUUAGCAAAGAGAAUCCUAAUCGGUGGUCACCAGACAGUAUACUGGCAUCCAUCUUAACCAGAUCAGAUAUCAUUAGAUUCGAUUAUUUAUGAUUUUUAUUAAAUCAUUUAUACUCUAAUUCAAACAUGACUUUAUUAAAUCAUCUUGAUUAGACUGAUCGGAUUGUCGAAUAAUAUUGUUUGAUUAACUUUAUUUCAUCUUGUUAAUUUAUUGUUCUUCUGAUAUUCUCUCUAUGUGAUUUAUAAAACUAGUGAACUUGAUUUAUUGCUUUAAAUCUGAGUUGAUUUCAGUAGGAGAUUUUGAACUACUCUGUUAAUCAGACAAUAUGCCAACACCAUUCGAGCCUUCAUCUAGUAUCAUAAGAUUUGAUCAUUAUUAAUCUUUAUUAGAUCAUUAUAUUUUAAGUGAUUCUGAUUAGAUGAAGCUAUUUAAUCAAAUUGAUUCUUGACUAUCCAUUAGUGUAUCAAUAUCUACUUUGAUUUAUGUCAGACACUAAUAGAUUUGAUCAUCUUUGAUCUCUAUUGGACUAUCUAUUUUCUAUUUUAAAUAUGAUUAGAUAAAAUUAUCUUAAUUAGAUCGACUAAAACGUUAGAUGCUUCCGCUUCUGAUUAGCUUUGUGGGGAUGUCAGAACUUAAUAUUUUUUAUUAGUUGUAGUUUAAGACUGAUAAAAUAAUAUAUUUUAAAUAAUAAAUUUUGAAAGAUGCUCUCAUGAUUGAUUGAAUAUGUUCGUGCAGUAUUUUAUAAAGAUAAGUAAUGAACCAACUUUCAAGAUAUUUAUAAUUUAUUUUGAAAGCAAAUAAUUGAUCUCUGAAGUUAUGCAUGAUUUAAAAAUUAUUUUUUGAAUGGAAGUAAUUGAAAAUUUUAAGAUUUUUAGAAUAUUAUGAUUUAUUGAUUUAUUAUGGAAUAUGCAUAUAUUCAAUGAAAUUAUGAUACUUAUAUAUUAUGUUGUAAAAGUGUUUUGAUAUAGAUCGAAUUUUAUUCUCUCACUUUAAUUAGGUUCUGGAUCCUACCAAUAGAGGUUAUAUAUUGAUUUUUAGAUUCUACCAAUAGGGGUUAUACAUUGAUUUUGGGAUACUGCUAGUGGAUGUUAUGUAUUGAUUUUUGGAUCCAGCCAAUGGGAGUUAUGCAUUAAUUUUUGGAUCCUACUAAUGGAGAUUAUAUAUUGGCACUCUGUUCUAGCCUUGUCAUAGGGAUAAAUAUGGUCGUAGUUAAGACUGUUAAGCUAUAUAUUUUUUAUUUUGAAUUAGAUUUAUGAUUAUGUAUGCAUAUGAGUAUUUGAAAGAUUUGAUUUGCAUUAAUUAGUAUAGAAUACAUAUUCUUAUGAUAUUCAUGGCAUUUGUUUUUGAGCAUCAUAUCUUAUGAUAAUAUCUGAAAUAUUUAAUAAGAUAUUCAUUAUUUACUAGACUAUCGAGCUCAUUACCUCUUCUUUCUUUUCAGAUUCAGAUUCUUAAUUAUGGAUAUUGAUACUAUUUUUGGAGUAAGUUAGAAGCAAGAGCCGAUAGUAUCAAUAGAGUUUAGACAAAGAUUUAUUAUAAUAUUUUACAAGAUUAUUAUUCAAAAUUUAAUUGAUAUAAGAUCUUUUGAAUAUUAUUAAAAUUUUAUUAGAGAUAAAAGUUAAUUUUGGUUAGUUAAAUUUUAGACUUAAUUUAUUAUAAAUUUCACUGUGAUGUAUUAAUAUCGUGUUUGGAAUACCUUGCAUGCUUAUGAAGAGAGUUCUCCAGAAAUAUGCGGAUGGUUAUCGUAAGCCAGGGUUACGACAACCAUCAUAUAUUCAUAGAGAACUUUCUCCACAAAUAUGUAAGACAUUCCAAACAUGAUAUCAAUAUAUCAUAAUAGAAUUCAUAAUAAAUUAAUUUUAAAAUUAAACUAACUAAAAUCAAUUUUUAUCUCUCACAAAAUUUGAAUAACAUUCAAAAGAUCUUUCAUUAAUUAAAUCUUGAAUAAUAAUCUUGUAAAAUAUAAUAAUAAGUCUAUUUUUAUACUCGAUUGAUACUAUCGACUCUUGCUUCUAACUCACUCCCAAAGUAAUAUCCACGUCCAUAAUUAAGAAUCUGAAUCUGCAAAAAAAGGAAAGGUGAUAAACUUGAUAGUCUAGUAAGUAAUAAAUAUCUCAACUAGAUAUUUUAGAUAUUAUCAUAAGAUAUGAUGCUUAAAAAUAAGUGCUAUGAAUAUCAUAAGAACAUAUAUUCCAUGCCAAUUAAUAUAAAUUAAAUCUUUUCAAGUACUCAUAUACAUACAUAAUCAUAAAUCCAAUUCAAAAUAAAAUACAUAUAACUCAACCAUACUUAUUUCUAUGGCAGGGUCAGAAUAAAGUGAUAAUAUACAAUCCCACUGGCAGGGUCCAAAAAUCAAUAUAUAACUUUCACUAGCAAGGUCCAAAAAUCAAUACAUAACUCCAC
rnacentral:lncRNA from 1 species